AUUGAACGCUGGCGGCAGGCCUAACACAUGCAAGUCGAACGGUAACAGGAAGCAGCUUGCUGCUUCGCUGACGAGUGGCGGACGGGUGAGUAAUGUCUGGGAAGCUACCUGAUGGAGGGGGAUAACUACUGGAAACGGUAGCUGAUACCGCAUAAUGUCGCAAGACCAAAGAGGGGGACCUUCGGGCCUCUUGCCAUCGGAUGUGCCCAGAUGGGAUUAGCUUGUUGGUGGGGUAACGGCUCACCAAGGCGACGAUCCCUAGCUGGUCUGAGAGGAUGACCAGCCACACUGGAACUGAGACACGGUCCAGACUCCUACGGGAGGCAGCAGUGGGGAAUAUUGCACAAUGGGCGCAAGCCUGAUGCAGCCAUGCCGCGUGUAUGAAGAAGGCCUUCGGGUUGUAAAGUACUUUCAGCGGGGAGGAAGGGAGUAAAGUUAAUACCUUUGCUCAUUGACGUUACCCGCAGAAGAAGCACCGGCUAACUCCGUG
rnacentral:rRNA from 1 species